UACCAACAGGACAUAGUGUUUGGCCUUCACUGCACCUGCCAAACAAAGCUGACAUGCUCAAGAGGUGCCUGAGAGCAUGAACCAUGAUGUGUUUAGUGAUUCAAAUCUCAAUGCGUGUGGAAAUUCAAGGAGAUGUAAGGAAAUGCGUCAUUGUCAAUAAAUGAAAACCAGCAGGGAACUGCAGGAAAUCACUGAAACAGCAAGUACCUUUUACUUUCAGAGAAACAGAUACUUCCUUCAAAGAGGCAGAUCAGCUAACAUCCCAGGCAUGACUGUCACAGUGCUUUGUACCUAGCAAGAACCUUGAUGGCAGAAUCGCAAUGUAGAUGCCCACCUUCCAAGUGGAGGAGAACCUAAUUACUUCUGUGCUGUUUACCUUGUAUUGGCUGCAAGUUCACUUCUGUGUGAUAUUUAAGGAAGAAGGGCCCACAAUCAUUCAGAAGACACAUGAGCUCAUUUGGCUACCCCUCGAUGGUAGCAAUACAAGGAUCUGUGAUGCUUAUGAGACUACAGGUGUGGAUAUGGAGAAAUUUGUUAUGUGAAGAUAAGCUGCACAUGCCAUUCACUGUUGGCAAAUGUAAAGUAAUGAGGUAAGGUACCUUUAUAGUUUAACAGCAGCACAGCG
rnacentral:lncRNA from 1 species